rnacentral:lncRNA from 1 species
GUGCUGGAGAGAGAGAGAGAGAAGGUUGGGAGAAGCAGCGCCCCUCACCUUCUGAGCUACUCAAGAGAUGGGGGACAGGAGCAGUACUGCCAAGAACAGUUGUGCAAGUUGCACACUGCACAAGCAUACCAGACAGAAGCUAGAGCAGAAGCUGACGUCGUCUGUUCCCCUCACCACACAUUGCAUCUGCCCAGAGGAAGAGGUGCCGUGCUGGGCAGUGAAUGAAUGAACCUUGCCCUGGGUUUAACACUCCAGUGGGAUGAACAGACAAACCCCACAAGCACUGCAUACGCAGCCAACAAAGAAAAAGGCUUCCUUCAUUGACUUCUGUGGGGAUUCAAUGACGUCGUACACAUAAAGCACUUAGCAUAUGCCUGGUACAUGGCAGCAUUCUUUCCAUCUCUCACCUCCUCAUGCCUCCUGUGGAAAAAAUGAAUGGACAGAUGAGAAAAGUUGGAGCUGGAGAAAGACCGUGUUCCUCGUGUUCGGUGGGACCUGGGAAGGCUGCUAAAACCCAGGGAGCAGGAGUUCUCCUCCCUCCAUCCUUAUCCACAGUCUGGGUCCCAUCCAGACCCUCCUCUCCAAACCGGGGGUUUGGGACAAAGCAGGUGAGGGAGGCAUUUCAUU